GUCCGCCCACAAUUCGUCCAACCGAGCUUCAUUUCACCUGGCUAAAUCCAUCCUACUGCAUCGUGUGUUUUUGAUAACAAGUUGCUGGUGACAAAGUCACAAUAAAACGUUGGAUGAUCAGCAUGGAAGGUGAUGUCAUCUGCAAAGGCGUCCAACCUAGCUUAAUCUCAGGGCUUGCUGCCCUUCUUGCCACCUACUAUGUGUUCAACUUGGAAUACCAAGAGGAAGGUCCUCGGACAUUGGAAUUUGUUCAAAGGGACCGAAGCACCAGUUUGACUCUAGGAUACAGAGAAGGUAGGUAAUGUGCAGGUAAAGAUAUGUUGACUGGGUCAAAGAAGGAAGCACCUGUUUGACCCCAGGAUGCAGAAAAAGUAGGUAAUUUGCAGGUAAAGAUAUGUUGACUGGAUGAUGGCAGGAAGCACCAGCUUGACCCGAGAAUGCAGAGCAA